rnacentral:rRNA from 1 species
UGGGGAAUUUUGGACAAUGGGCGAAAGCCUGAUCCAGCAAUGCCGCGUGUGUGAAGAAGGCCUUCGGGUUGUAAAGCACUUUUGUCCGGAAAGAAAUCCUCUGGGUUAAUACCUCGGGGGGAUGACGGUACCGGAAGAAUAAGCACCGGCUAACUACGUGCCAGCAGCCGCGGUAAUACGUGGGGUGCAAGCGUUAAUCGGAAUUACUGGGCGUAAAGCGUGCGCAGGCGGUUUUGUAAGACGGAUGUGAAAUCCCCGGGCUUAACCUGGGAACUGAAUUCGUGACUGCAAGGCUAGAGUAUGGCAGAGGGGGGUAGAAUUCCACGUGUAGCAGUGAAAUGCGUAGAGAUGUGGAGGAAUACAGAUGGCGAAGGCAGCCCCCUGGGCCAAUACUGACGCUCAUGCACGAAAGCGUGGGGAGCAAAC